UCUAAUGGCCACGCCACCCCGAACGUGCCCCAUCCCGUCCGAUCUCGGAAGCUCAGCAGGGUCGGGCCUGGUUAGUACUUGGAUGGGAGACCACCCAGGAAGACCAGGUGCUGCAGGCG
rnacentral:rRNA from 1 species